rnacentral:lncRNA from 1 species
UUAUGGUGUGCCUUGUAUUCUCGUAGCUACCCGUGACCAAAAUGGAUGGAGCAGUGAGUCACCUACCAGACAGCAUUAGAGCUGUGGCAACAAGAGACCAGAUGUAACUUCUGCCCUGUAUCUCCUUUCCAGACCACAGAAGUACAGCAUAUCGAAUUUGCUUUGACUUGCACAAGCUACAAAUCCUGCUGCUUUCAAGUAACUGCUGUGCUGUUGGCUGUGAAAGCAAGAGAACAGCUUCUGCAGAUGAAAGGCCAGCGAUGA